rnacentral:lncRNA from 1 species
AUUACAAAGGCCACAAAUGCUUGAGGAAUGGAGACUUGGUCUUGACCCUAGCUUCAACUCUUUCUUCUUCUGCAAGUUCUAGAGAAAGAAAUAUUUGAGAGGAUAAACUUUGGGAUUCUUUUGGGGUUCUGGAAAUAAUGACUUGAAUGGUGAGUUUAAAGGUUUAAAAUCACUUAUAUAGGUGUACUAGGUUUAGGCAAAACGACCUCACUUUAUUCUAAUUAAAACCGGAAAGUCUCAUUGUGCCCUUAACUAAACUGCCCUCCUCCACC